rnacentral:lncRNA from 1 species
UUAAACCCCACUAAAUUUGGAGUUACAAAGAGAGAUUAAUUACCGUUUUAGUGAAGGUAUGUCCCCCAAAUAUUCUGCACAAAAUCUGUUUUCGAGUCACAACUUCAAAACUUCGCACAGAAUUCCAUUUAGAUCCAUAAUUCACCAAACUGGUACCGAAAUGACCGAAAUCGAGUUAGUUUUCCAUAGAAUCAAACUCCACAAAAUUUGGAGUUACAGAGAGAGAUUAAUUAUCAUUUUAGUGAAGGUCUGUCCAAAUCAAUUAAUGUAUGGAACUACUA